rnacentral:misc_RNA from 1 species
GAUGAAGAACGUAGCGAAAUGCGAUAAGUAGUGUGAAUUGCAGAAUUUAGUGAAUCAUCGAAUCUUUGAACGCACAUUGCGCCCUAUAGUAUUCUGUAGGGCAUGCCUGUUCGAGCGUUAUUGAGACCUCAAGCUCUGCUUGGAAAUGGGCGCUUGUCUUGCCUUGCAGACUCGCCUUAAAACCAUUGGCAGCUGAUUUACAAUGUUUGGUGCACAGUACAUGAGCCCAAGUGUUGCAAUGAGUGGCCCAAAAGUAUACAAUAGAAGCUUAACCUCGGAUCAGGUAGGGAUACCCGCGGAACUUAAGCAUAUCAAUAAGCGGAGGA